UACAGGGGGUGCAAACGUUGCUCGGAAUCAUUGGGCGUAAAGCGCACGUAGGCGGUUCGUUAUGUCGGAUGUGAAAGCCCUUGGCUUAACCGAGGAAGUGCAUCCGAAACUGGCGAGCUAGAGUACGAAAGAGGAUCGCGGAAUUCCCGGUGUAGAGGUGGAAUGCGCAGAUAUCAGGAGGAACACCGGUGGCGAAGGCGGGUCUCUGGGCCAUUACUGACGCUGAGGAGCGAAAGCGUGGGGAGCGAACAGG
rnacentral:rRNA from 1 species